rnacentral:rRNA from 1 species
UACGGGGGGGGCAAGCGUUGUUCGGAAUUACUGGGCGUAAAGGGCUCGUAGGCGGCCAACUAAGUCAGACGUGAAAUCCCCAGGCUCAACCUGGGAACUGCGUCUGAUACUGGAUGGCUUGAAUCCGGGAGAGGGAUGCAGAAUUCCAGGUGUAGCGGUGAAAUGCGUAGAUAUCGGGAAGAACAUCAAUGGCGAAGGCGGCUGGCUGGCCCAAUACUGACACUCAGGUGCGACAGCGUGGGGAGCAAACAGG